GACGAACGCUGGCGGCGUGCUUAACACAUGCAAGUCGAACGGAAAGGCCCUGCUUUUGUGGGGUGCUCGAGUGGCGAACGGGUGAGUAACACGGGAGUAACCCGCCCUUGUCAUUGGGAUAAAUUCAGGAAACUGGGGCUAAUACCGGAUAGGAGCUCCUGCUGCAUGGUGGGGGUUGGACAGUUUCGGCGGUUGGGGAUGGACUCGCGGCUUAUCAGCUUGUUGGUGGGGUAGUGGCUUACCAAGGCUUUGACGGGUAGCCGGCCUGAGAGGGUGACCGGCCACAUUGGGACUGAGAUACGGCCCAGACUCCUACGGGAGGCAGCAGUGGGGAAUAUUGCACAAUGGGCGGAAGCCUGAUGCAGCAACGCCGCGUGCGGGAUGACGGCCUUCGGGUUGUAAACCGCUUUCGCCUGUGACGAAGCGUGAGUGACGGUAAUGGGUAAAGAAGCACCGGCUAGCUACGUG
rnacentral:rRNA from 1 species